rnacentral:rRNA from 1 species
UACAGAGGUGGCAAGCGUUGUUCGGAUUAAUUGGGCGUAAAGGGUCCGUAGGCGGUUCGGAAAGUUGGAUGUGAAAUCCUACAGCUUAACUGUAGAACUGCAUUCAAAACUUCCGAACUAGAGUAUGAGAGGGGUAAAGGGAAUUCCCGGUGUAAGGGUGAAAUCUGCAGAGAUCGGGAGGAACACCAGUCGCGAAGGCGCUUUACUGGCUCAUUACUGACGCUCAGGGACGAAAGCUAGGGGAGCAAACGGG